rnacentral:rRNA from 1 species
UGGCGAACGGGUGAGUAACACGUGGGUGAUCUGCCCUGCACUCUGGGAUAAGCCUGGGAAACUGGGUCUAAUACCGGAUAGGACCGUGCUUUAGUGUGUGUGGUGGAAAGUUGUUUCGGUGUAGGAUGAGCCCGCGGCCUAUCAGCUUGUUGGUGGGGUAAUGGCCUACCAAGGCGGCGACGGGUAGCCGGACUGAGAGGUUGGUCGGCCACAUUGGGACUGAGAUACGGCCCAG